rnacentral:tRNA from 2 species
GCGUCGGAGGUGCUGGUGGAGCACGCCCUACUUUCAGUAGGGAGAGUCCGUUCAAAUCGGGCCCGGCGCUCCA